rnacentral:rRNA from 1 species
AUGAAUCUUCAUUCAAACGAUAACGAGGACAACCAGGAUGAGGAGGACGAACCUGUUCAAUCAAGAAAAUAUGUAUCUGCAAUGGAGUAUUACUGCUUCAAGCUGAUGAUCAGGAAGAAGCUUUUUAACAUCGUCCUGUUUGGGGGGCGCCUUUUCCAACAAUGGUCCGUUGAUAUGUACAUUAAGAUCGAGACAAUGAGGCUGGAUUGGUACUCCAAGCCAGAAAAUCAGAAGAUUAUACGCGCGGACCUCUACCAGGGUCUUGUAGACACGAUCGCUGCUGGUGAGUCAUGUGGUGAUCGGAUUGGUAAAAGGAUUGUGCUCCCAAGGACAUUUCCUGGUGGUGAUAGA